CAGCCGCCGCGGUAAUACGGAGGGGGCUAGCGUUGUUCGGAAUUACUGGGCGUAAAGCGCACGUAGGCGGCUUGGUAAGUUAGAGGUGAAAGCCCGGAGCUCAACUCCGGAAUUGCCUUUAAGACUGCCGAGCUAGCAGGUGAGAGAGGUAAGUGGAAUUCCGAGUGUAGAGGUGAAAUUCGUAGAUAUUCGGAAGAACACCAGUGGCGAAGGCGGCUUACUGGCUCAUACUGGACGCUGAGGUGCGAAAGCGUGGGGAGCAAACAGGAUUAGAUACCCCCGUAGUCCCUGUCUCUUAUAC
rnacentral:rRNA from 1 species